UAGGGAAUCUUCCACAAUGGACGCAAGUCUGAUGGAGCAACGCCGCGUGAGUGAAGAAGGUCUUCGGAUCGUAAAGCUCUGUUGUUGGUGAAGAAGGAUAGAGGCAGUAACUGGUCUUUAUUUGACGGUAAUCAACCAGAAAGUCACGGCUAACUACGUGCCAGCAGCCGCGGUAAUACGUAGGUGGCAAGCGUUGUCCGGAUUUAUUGGGCGUAAAGCGAGCGCAGGCGGAAUGAUAAGUCUGAUGUGAAAGCCCACGGCUCAACCGUGGAACUGCAUCGGAAACUGUCAUUCUUGAGUGCAGAAGAGGAGAGUGGAACUCCAUGUGUAGCGGUGGAAUGCGUAGAUAUAUGGAAGAACACCAGUGGCGAAGGCGGCUCUCUGGUCUGCAACCGUGCGCUGAGGCUCGAAAGCAUGGGUAGCGAACAGGAUUAGAUACCCUGGUAGUCCAUGCCGUAAACGAUGAGCGCUAGGUGUUGGGGACUUUCCGGUUGCUCAGUGCCGCAGCAAACGCAUUAAGCGCUCCGCCUGGGGAGUACGACCGCAAGGUUGAAC
rnacentral:rRNA from 1 species